UCGGGGUACACGAGCGGCGAACGGGUGAGUAACACGUGGGUGAUCUGCCCUGCACUCUGGGAUAAGCUUGGGAAACUGGGUCUAAUACCGGAUAUGACCNCAGNNNGCAUGUGNUGUGGUGGAAAGAUUUAUCGGUGCAGGAUGGGCCCGCGGCCUAUCAGCUUGUUGGUGGGGUAAUGGCCUACCAAGGCGACGACGGGUAGCCGACCUGAGAGGGUGACCGGCCACACUGGGACUGAGACACGGCCCAGACUCCUACGGGAGGCAGCAGUGGGGAAUAUUGCACAAUGGGCGGAAGCCUGAUGCAGCGACGCCGCGUGAGGGAUGAAGGCCUUCGGGUUGUAAACCUCUUUCAGCAGGGACGAAGCGUGAGUGACGGUACCUGCAGAAGAAGCACCGGCUAACUACGUGCCAGCAGCCGCGGUAAUACGUAGGGUGCGAGCGUUGUCCGGAAUUACUGGGCGUAAAGAGUUCGUAGGCGGUUUGUCGCGUCGUUUGUGAAAACCCGGGGCUCAACUUCGGGCUUGCAGGCGAUACGGGCAGACUUGAGUGUUUCAGGGGAGACUGGAAUUCCUGGUGUAGCGGUGAAAUGCGCAGAUAUCAGGAGGAACACCGGUGGCGAA
rnacentral:rRNA from 1 species